rnacentral:lncRNA from 1 species
AACAAACAGAGCUAUCUCCCAACUUCCUGGUCCUACUGGCAGAUCUUCAUGUAAAUCUCUUUUUCUUGUGCUCCUUACACGACAGACCAGGGAAAAGGGAGAGAACCACAGAGAAUGCUAGUGUAACUCCCCAUUUGACAAGUGAAAAAAUGUCCAAAAUACUCAGAUUUGACAAUGGUGCAUACUGAGUACGCAGUUGAAGGCACUGGUUUAUCCUGACAUUCAUAACAUUCUCUCUUAAUCCUCACAAUGUCGGAUGGUACUGGCUGAGUUUUACUGAACCUGAAGUGCCGGGAGACUAUAUAACUUACUCAUGGAUCCAUAGCUAGCCAGCUGCAAAGCUGGGAGUCACAACUCAAGAGACUAUUCUACACCGAAGACUGGACAAAUGGUUUCAUGAAAUGUUUCCCAGCUUUGUUAGGCUGAUACCCAGAAACAGCUGCUCUUCACUUCUCCCAACUGAAAACUCCAGUUAUUAUCAUUAAAACACCACCCUGCAGAAGAUCCACCUGCAGAAGAUCCACCCGCCCUGAGGGUAAAAACCUGCAGAAGAUCCACCCGCUCUGAGGAAAGACCUCCACUGAUAGUACUGUGGAAUAUUGGGUUGGACGGAUUUAAAGUAGAACGUGGGAGACCAGACAGAAGUCUACAGCAAAAGGCCAGGCAAAAACUUGAUGAGAGCCUAGAAUACAGAAGUGGCAAAAAAGAAAACUUCAAAUGUCACAGUACAAAUCCUAUUGUUCACUAUCCUGGGUCCC